AGCGAACGCUGGCGGCAGGCCUAACACAUGCAAGUCGAACGGAUCCUUCGGGAUUAGUGGCGGACGGGUGAGUAACACGUGGGAACGUGCCCUUUGGUUCGGAACAACUCAGGGAAACUUGAGCUAAUACCGGAGGUGCCCUUCGGGGGAAAGAUUUAUCGCCAUUGGAGCGGCCCGCAUAUGGUUAGCCAGUUGGUGAGGGAAAGGAUCACCAAGGAGACGAUCAGUCGCUGGUCUGAGAGGAAGAUCAGCCACAUUGGGACUGGGACACGGCCCAAACUCCUGCGGAAGGCAGCAGAGGGUAAUCUUGCGCACUGGGCGAAAGCCUGACGCAGCCAUGCCGCGUGAAUGAUGAAAGUCUUAGGAUUGUAAAAUUCUUUCACCGGGGACGAUAAUGACGGUACCCGGAGAAGAAGCCCCGGCUAACUUCGUGCCAGCCGCCGCGGUAACAC
rnacentral:rRNA from 1 species